rnacentral:rRNA from 1 species
AUGCUCCGGCUCCGCUCCUCCGCCCGCCUGCUCCGCAAGCUGUGCGAAGCGUCCCGGCCGCUGGUGCGCGGCGAGGUCCAAAGAGUGCCGCCGCCGCUGCCGACGAUGACGCGGCGGCUCUCCGGCGCAGCCUCCGCCGCGCGCUCGACCUCGCUCCUGCACCCGCUGCCGGGGCUCGACCUCCCGCCCUGCCUCCCCGACCAGCUCGCCCGCCUCCCCACCCGCAUCACCACGCUCCCCAACGGCGUCCGCGUCGCCUCCGAGGACGUCCCGGGUCCCACGGCGUGCGUGGGGGUGUUCGUGGCGUCCGGCUCGAUCCACGAGUCGCCCGAGUCCACCGGCGCGACGCACCUGCUGGAGAAGCUGGCGUUCAAGGACACGGCGCACCGGAGCCACAUGCAGAUCGUGCAGGAGGUGGAGGCCACGGGGGGCAACGUCGGCGCCUCCGCCUCCAGGGAGCAGAUGGUCUACAGCUACGACACGCUCAAGGCCUACAUUCCGCAGGCCGUCGAGGUGCUCCUCGACAGCGUCCGCAACCCGCUCUUCGUCCAGGACGAAGUCGACCGGCAGCUGGCCCUUACUCGAGAGGAGGUCCAUGCGGUGCAGAAGAACCCGGAGAAGUUUCUUCAGGAAGUACUUAACCUUGUUGGAUACGAGGGGGCGAUCGCGAACCCGCUGAUAGCUCCUGAGGAGGCUCUUGGGAUCAUCAAUGCCGAUAUUAUUCGGAAGUUCUAUCAUGAAAAUUUCACUGCUGAUCGUGUGGUUCUAGCAGCGUCAGGUGUUGAUCAUCAACAAUUGUUAGAUGUUGCAGAACCUUUGUUGUCUGAUUGGCACAAGGGGUCCCCUAUGGAAACACCAAAGUCUACGUAUACAGGUGGUGACUUCAGACAGAAAGCAGAAUCAGAUAUGACACAUGUUGCGUUGGCUUUUGAAGUGCCAGGCGGCUGGCUUAAAGAGAGAGAUGCUACAAUUAUGACCGUCAUACAGACCUUAAUGGGUGGUGGCGGCUCAUUCUCCUCUGGUGGUCCUGGAAAAGGGAUGCAUUCGCGGCUUUACCUGAGAGUCUUAACUAAAUAUCACGACGUCCAAUCAUUUUCAGCAUUCAGUAAUGUAUAUGAUAGCACUGGCCUCUUUGGUAUCUAUUUGACAACGCCACCAGAUUUUGUUGCAAAGGCUGUUGAUGUCGCUGUGCAGGAAUUGAUUGCUAUUGCAACGCCUGGACAAGUGACGGAGGUUGAGCUGACACGUGCGAAAAACUCGACGAUUUCAUCUGUGCUAAUGAAUCUUGAGUCAAGGGUAAUUGUUGCAGAAGAUAUAGGGAGGCAGCUUUUGACUUAUGGUAGCAGGAAGCCUAUCGAUCAUUUUCUUCAGUGCAUGGAGGAACUGACCCUAGAUGACAUUACAGCGUUUGCUAAGAUGUUGUUAUCUUCCCAACCUACAAUGGCUAGCUAUGGAGAUGUCGAUAAAGUUCCGCCGUAUGAAUUUGUCAGCAAGCGGUUCCAACGGUUCCGAUAG